AGGUCCCGGCGCCCAGAGUCGCCGCGCGGCCGCCGGUGAGCCGCAUGGAGCCCCGGGCGGCGGACGGCUGCUUCCUGGGCGACGUGGGUUUCUGGGUGGAGCGGACCCCUGUGCAUGAGGCAGCCCAGCGGGGUGAGAGCCUGCAGCUGCAACAGCUGAUCGAGAGCGGCGCCUGCGUGAACCAGGUCACCGUGGACUCCAUCACGCCCCUGCACGCGGCCAGUCUGCAGGGCCAGGCACGGUGCGUGCAGCUGCUGCUGGCGGCUGGGGCCCAGGGAGUUCCGAAUGUGUGAGGCUUCUUAUUGACGUCGGGGCCAAUCUGGAAGCGCACGAUUGCCAUUUUGGGACCCCUCUGCACGUUGCCUGUGCCCGGGAGCAUCUGGACUGUGUCAAAGUGCUGCUCAAUGCAGGGGCCAACGUGAAUGCGGCAAAGCUUCAUGAGACGGCCCUUCACCACGCGGCCAAGGUCAAGAAUGUUGACCUCAUCGAGAUGCUUAUCGAGUUUGGCGGCAACAUCUACGCCCGGGACAACCGCGGGAAGAAGCCGUCUGACUACACGUGGAGCAGCAGCGCUCCCGCCAAGUGCUUCGAGUACUACGAAAAGACACCUCUGACUCUGUCACAGCUCUGCAGGGUGAGCUUGAGGAAGGCCACUGGCGUCCGAGGGCUGGAGAAGAUUGCCAAGUUAAACAUCCCGCCCCGGCUCAUUGAUUACCUCUCCUACAACUGAAUUGCAGGUGGGGUUUGGACCAUGACUGCCCCCGUUGUGCCCAGCAUUGCCCGGGUGAGGGCUCUGCCUGUUCCUCUGAAGCAGCGUGAUUGCUGUAGAUAGAACAACGCUCCUUCGAGUCCCUUCCUGCGAUCCUGUUUAGGCUUCUCUCCUGGAUCCUGGAUAAUGUUUCCAGGGUGUUAGGAAGGCCUGCGUCUCAGGUCACAAUUGUGGGUGUGGCCCUGCACUGUUCUACAGAACCUACCCUCUCAAUGGGCAUGGGCCCAACCAUCCAGUUUUCCUCUUUUACGGACCAUCCUCAAAGGCACUCUCAGGACAGAUGCGUGGGGAGCACAGAGGAGGCUGGCAGAGCUGGGGACUCAGGGCAUUGUUGCUGAUUCCCACUCGCCGGGGCAGCCUGCCGCAGAUGCACAGGCCCCAGGUGCAGGCCACCACCUCCGGGUCGGCACCAGGACUGCCCUCGGUGCUCAUAGGGAAUGGCUGGGCCCACGGAAGUUCGGCCUGGGAUGUGGCCUGGGACUGCUGCUCUGCUGGCUGCUGUGUGGAUGCUUUUCCUGGAGCACUUUCCAAGGCAUCCCCCAGCCCCAAGCCUGCGCGCAUCCGUCACUCAGGGGCUUUCUAUGGGUCUUUGUGGGGGAAGGCCCUGGCUUUGUAUUCCCCACAAGUAACACUGAGUUUCUUAGGAAAUUUGUCUUCAGUAUUAGGUCUCCAACUCUUGUAAAAAGUUUAUAUGUAGGAUAAAAACCUUUUAGAGGACACGUAGGUGGUACCACUAAGGUUUUGGUAAUGAGCCAUUCAAACCGACAGCAGUGUGAAGGUGUGUCAAGGUGUAUAUUCUCAUGGCUCGGCAUUCUCAGUGCAAAGGCCUGUUUGGAGACUCUGUGGGAAUUGUUUUUCAUCUGUUUCUGUGGUUGUCAAAUGAAUUCUUCACCCACCCUACAGUUUGCUAACUCCUUGAAGCUAUCAAAUUAGUAAGAGAGGCUGCCCGCACCCAGGGGGCACCAUCGCCCACUUAUUAUUUAGUUUUGCAGAUACUCAUGGACCAUCUAUCACAUCCAGCAUUGUCCCAGUGCUUUGAGUUGGACGGGAAUGGGACUCUGCAGCCAAGGCAGAAUAAGAAAAUCUUGCAAUCCCGUCCUGCAGUGAUAGAAACAGGUCGUUCUGCAUUAUAAGCCAUAGGUGGAGCAUUCGGUAGCGUAUUCAGACUGCACGGGCCGGCCUAGGAGUCUUUGUCUUCAUAAAUUUUAAGAACCCCGCCCACAACAGGGAGUUAAACUGGAGGACUUUGCAUGAUUAGUUCAGGGAUGAGUGGUUUCUGGGGCAUCUGAGGUCAGGAGUUCGAAACCAGCCUGGCCAACUUGAUGAAACCCCAUCUCUACCCGUUCUGGAGAACAGGUCACGCCUGUCCUGGAGACAGUGUGCCCGGAAAAGGGAACGUAGUACUCACUGGAUGCACCCAGGCCGGCCCGAGCCUCCCACCGCAGACAGUGUGGAACAGAGUGAGCCUGAGCUGCCCAAGGCGAUGCCCUUCGUGCUGUAUGACUGGAGGCCUCUCCGCGUGGGUACUUGGGGGUGGGGCCACAAAUCUGGCGAAAAACUUCAUGCUGGCCGCCGUGAGGUUUUUCUCCAGCGUUCCCGCCAUUGUCAUGGCGGGUCUUCAUCCUAAACUGAGAAGAAAAACAUUCCUGUUUGAUCACCGCCUUAGUUACCAGUUCUGGAUCAGUCAGUGUUUCUGCAUGGAAUAACAACCAUUAAAAAAAGCACUGGGUUCUGCCCUUUCAUCUUUGUAAGAGAUUCUUGCCUCUAGCAAUGACAUCCUGUGAUGUCUCACAGUAGAGCACUUAGCGCAGAAUCAGGUCCCCACGGCUGUUGCUCAAUAAAAGUGGCGGAAUAAAGUGC
rnacentral:sRNA from 1 species